GUCACACGGUUUCACGUGAUACGAAUUGGCAGAGUUCACGAAGCUUUAAAUGUGCAAUGCAGCGAAACGCCAAACUUUUGCACGCGUUUGCUUUUCUGAAUGGAAGUCAAUGGGACGAAAAGUGGUAUCGACUGGGAGAAUCUCCUCUCCACCGCACGCUACACGAUGAUUAUAGAGAAGAGAAGAAAUACGCCCGAAUCAACGCUGCAAACGAGCGAUUAAGCGAUGCGGCUACUACCAUGAGUACACAAAGCCAUGUGCGAUGAGUGUCUACUAGAGGCCUGCAACUCACGGAUUCGCGGAUUUGAUGGAAGAAGAAGAGUCAGCCGCUCCUGUCUUGUGCUGUUUGAACUCUCAAUCUGGCGGCACCCAUUCACUGCAGAGGAUCCAUUGGAGGGCAAGUGAUAUAAUGCUAAAUUUCUACAAAUCUGUUGUGUUGAAGAGACAAGCUCAUCUACAAUCUGGACAGCUUGCAAGGUGGGGACCAGCAUGGUGGAUUUGUGCCUUGGGGACGAGACAACGACAUCCCAGACCUUCGCCUUUGUUACAGG